rnacentral:rRNA from 1 species
GGGUGAACUUGAGUUGGAUGUGCAAAUGCUUCCUUGGUAAAGAAACGACGAGAAGACCCGUGAAGUUAGAAAUUAAUGUGCAGAAUAGUGGGAGUGCUACUUUUUCUUGCCUUAUAGUUUUUGGCUGGUGGCAGCAAGUGGGGCAAAAUGUAGACCCCUUUAAAAUUUAAUUCUUGGUGAGUAAUGACCCAUAAGUGUUUAAGGGUAUGAUUAGUAGAAGAAGUUACUCCGGGGGAUAACAGCGUAAUCCGCCUUGACAGUCCUUAUAGAUGGGUGGGUUUGCGACCUCGAUGUUGGCUCUGGAUGUCCUGAAGCUGCAUGCGGUUUCAAGGGUUGGUUCGUUCGCCCAUUAAAAUCCAACGUGAGCUGAGUUCAGAUCGGCGAAAGCUAGGUCGGUUUCUAUCUUCUUUUUAAUGGAAAGCCUUAGGGUACGAAAGGACAUUUGGCUUCAGAGGUUCUGUACUAGUGAUCUUGUAAUAUAAUUAUAGUA